rnacentral:lncRNA from 1 species
ACAGCAGUGGGAAGCUGAUAUCAGCGCUCUGUACCAUUGAUAAAGAACCUGAGGCCCAGAGGAGGAGUAUCUUGCCCAAAACCACAGGACAGGGAGACGUGCAGACAGAAAGACCCCAGCAGUCCUGAAUCAAGGUAUAGUGCCUUGUUUACAACUGCAUGCUGCCUCCCACUGUAGCCUUGGUAAAGUACAGUAGAGUCUUGAGAUGAUAUUAAAAAUAUUGCAGUUUUAUAAGCAUACUUAAUAAAGAAAGACUUUUGCCACAUGUUUCAUCACCCAAAGAUGCUAUAAGGAAUUAUUCUAAAACCUUGUGCUUAAGGGAUUUUGGGUAAUAAAACAGUUUGCAGAGAAGAAGGGUAGCACUCCUGAGACAGUAAUGAUCCCCUAGGUAUCCUCCAGGCUGCUAGAUGAAAGCGAGAGAGGCAGAGAAGCCAUUUUUUUUGAAAGUAGAAAUAUCUGUCUUAGAGAUAAAGAUACAACGUUUUGUGGAUGAAAUGCAAAAAGAAGAGACAACAAGAAUCAAGAUCUUUUAGGCUUGGUAGCCAUAAAUUCAGAGGAAAUUAUUACAAACUUUAAAUACAGAAGCCCUAGGCACCCUAUGCACCAGUAAUAAAUCACCAAAGUGAAUGAUUACCUCACUGUUCUAUCCAACACCAUCCAUGUGGAUGUUUUAUGGAAAGUAUGUCUGGAUAUGACUGAUGAUAUAAAGAACUGAGGGACAUCAGCUCGUGUGGGAACAGACAUUUCAGGCAAGACAAAAAACCUACAAAGGGUGAAGAGGGAAAGAAUGCCAGAAAAGGUGGUUCACGCAGAGUUGGCAAUGGCUUCUCAAAAGAAAUCCGAUGCAACAGCCAUGACUGUGGUCCGGAACAGGGAGUGCAAAGCCAGGAGGAUGGCAGCACUUUGGAUACAGGGGUAUGAAGCUCUGCCCCAGCAGGACUUCUACAUCAGCAAUACAGUAUCACAAAAUCACAGAAUGGGUGAGGUUGAAAGGGACCUCUGGAGGUCAUCUGGCCAAGCAAGGACACCCAGAGCAGGCUGCCCAGCACCAUGUCCAGGUGUUUUUUGAAGAUCUCCAAGGCGAUCUUCCACAGCCUCCCUGAACAACCUGUGCCCGUGCUCUGUCACCCGCAGAGCACAGAAGUGCUGCCUGAUGGUCAGAGGGAACCUCCUGUGUACCAGUUUGUGCCCAUUGCUUCUUGUUCCAUUGCUGCGCACCACUGAACAGAGCCUGGCUCUGCCCUCUUUGUACCCUCCCUCCAGGUAUUUAUACACAUCAGUGAGAUCCCUCUGAGCCUCCUCUUCUCCAGGCAGAACCAUCCCAGCUCUCUCAGCCUUCCCUCACAGGAGAGGUGAUCCAGUCCCUUCAUCUUCUUGGUGGCCCCGCAUUGGACUCUUUCCAGUAUGUCCAUGUCUCUCUCGUACUGGGUGGCCCAGAACUGACGAUAGUACUCCAGGUGCAGCCUCACCUUGCUUUUCCCUCUGUCAGUGAGUGAUCCCCAUUCCGUAUUACUGUAAAACAUGAAAAACCUGCUCUAAAAACAAAACCAUUAGUUUCCUUUUGAGAUUUUCCGUGUUGCUUUUUAUACUGUUUCAUGUCAUUCAGUCAUUUCCAAAUGUCCAGGUGUUUUUUUAGUCACAAAAUUCUUAGGAAGGUGGAGUGCUGUUUGCAUGUUCCUGAAUGAGAACUGAGGACCAGAGAGGAGAGAAGGGGCCUGGUGAAACGAGGGACCCAGGUAGGACUUUCUGAACACCUCCUGCAAGCCAUAUCGGCACAGCCCUCCACCUCUGAACAAACCACCAGGACUGGCUCAAGUGUUGUUCCUCCAACACCCAACUUAUUUUAGACCUUUUCUUCAGCAUGAAAACAAAUCCCAGCCUUACUGGGGGAAGCCCAGCCCAGGUGGUUGGCGUGGUAGGAGAAUGAUUGCCUAGAGGCAGGGACGGACUGCAGCUGGACAGGAUAAUAGUGGACUGCUUUGUCUUGAGCUCACCCUUCCUUUUGGCUGCCCCUUCCCUGGCACUUCCCUACUAACAGUGGCCACCUCUCUUCUUUCCCCACAACUCUCCCUCUCUCACUAUUUGUUUAACAGUAGCAUUUUCCUAAGGAAUACAUACUUAUGGAUGUAUGUCAUUCUCUUCCAUUUUUCUCCAUUCUGACUUUGUUUUUUCAUUUUCUCUCCCUCCAUGCAGUAGCAUGCACUGAGUUGAAGAAUGAUGCCCAGGUCCUUCAGCGUCAUGUUUUCUGUCUCACUGGGCACAUUUGCAAGUGGUUUGUAGCUAUAAAUGAGGCCACAAAUUUCAGUGAGCUUAGCAGCUCUCUCUAUGACACCUCGUGCCCUGAUUAAUAUUGUAAUAACAUAGUCCUUAAGCCACAAGUCAUUGCAUAAUCUUUCUUUUGUAGCCUUACCCUGCUUUUGUCAUGUGGUUCAUGUAAUCUCUUGGGAAUUCUGUCACUCCCUUUACCAUCAUGGUCAAGAAACCUCCCAAAUAAGUACCCUACCAUUCCACUCACAAGAUCAGCAGCUGUUUGGAAAUAUGUAGAAUAUUUGGAAAAUAUUUGCAGUUUUUAAUGAAGCUGAAAAUCAGAAGAAGGUACUGACUAUACCAUUUUACCUCUACAACCUUCUAACAAGUGGUCCAUGAACCAAGGCUUGAGAACCUCUUUCACUUUUAUACUUGUUACGAAGUUAUCAGCUUUUUAUUUGGAAAGACUCUUAAUAUGCUCCUGAAAGUGGCACAAAUAAUUAUUCUUUUGAGUAAUAAUUAAUGAAGAAUCUCUCAUAAGUGUUACAAAAACAGAGAUUCCCUUGCUUAGCCUGACUCUUCUUGCAGUGCUCCAUGCAUUGGCUCUUCAAAUCCACCAACAUAGCAAUACCCACAUGGUGCUUAUAUAUAACAGAGCAGAUUUUCAAGUACUUUUCCAAGGCUGCAUGAGACCAACAGCUGUCACUGUGACGUUUAAGAACCCAUCUAAAGGACUGAGGCUUCAGAAAAAGUUUAAUCAGUUUAAUUGCUCCUCUCAUCUUAAAAGAGAAGGCAGAAUAAUGCUGCCAGAGCAUUCUGUAAUGGAGGCACUGAAAUUGAGAUUGAGUGGGGAAAGCUGCAUUUGAGGAGCAGCUUCACCCCCAUGCUGUGCUAAGUGUUUGCAGAAUGAAGGGAAAUAUAAACUGUUGGGUUUGAUGGGCUUGAAGCAAUUGAGCUAAUGUCUAAACAAAGUUAUGUCGUUUUCUCCCCUCUCCACGUCUGUUCUUUUGCUUUAAGAUCUUAUCGUGUUGCCUUUUCCUUAUUUAUUGAUGCCGUGUUUUCAACAAAUCUGAAUCCCUACACAAGACAAAAGGAAAUAAAAUAGACUACUAUGGUACA